rnacentral:rRNA from 1 species
AGUUGAUCCUGCUGGAGAAUGCCGCUAUUGGAGUUCACUAAGCCAUGCAAGUCAGAUGCCUUUAUGGUGUCGGCGAACGGCUCAGUAACACGUAGCUAACCUACCCUAGGAUGGGAGAUAACCUCGGAAAACUGAGGGUAAUACCCCAUAGUGAAUUAAUACUGGAAUGUGUUUUUCGCAAAAGCCCUCGGGCGUCCUAGGAUGGGGCUGCGGUGGAUUAGGCUGUUGGUGAGGUAAUGGCUCACCAAACCUGUGAUCCAUACGGGCUGUGAGAGCAGUAGCCCGGAGAAUGGUACUGAGACAAGGACCAUAGCCCUACGGGGUGCAGCAGGCGCGAAACCUCUACAAUGCACGAAAGUGUGAUAGGGGGACUCCAAGUGACCAUGAAUGUGGUCUUUUCUGAAGUGUAAACAGCUUCGGGAAUAAGAGCUGGGAAAGACCCGUGCCAGCCGCCGCGGUAAUACGGGCAGCUCGAGCGGUGUUCACGAAUAUUGGGCCUAAAGCGUGCGUAGCCUGUUAAAUAAGUCCUUGGUGAAAUCCACCGGCUAAACCGUUGGAAUUGCCAAGGAAACUAUUUGACUUGGAGCCGGGAGAGGUAGGAGGUACUUUGAGGGUAGGGGUUAAAUCCUGUGAUCCUCGAAGGACCAUCGGUGGCGAAGGCGUCCUACUGGAACGGACUCGACGGUGAGGCACGAAAGCUAGGGGAGCAACCCGGAUUAGAGACCCGGUUAGUCCUAGCCGUAAAUGAUGCUGGUUUGGUGUGACACUCCUUACGAGGGAGUGUUGUGCCGUAGGGUAGCCGUUAAACCAGCCGCCUGGGGAGUACGGUCGCAAGACUGAAACUUAAAGGAAUUGGCGGGGGAGUACUACAAGGGGUGGAGGCUGCGGUUUAAUUGGAUAAUACGCCGGACAACUCACCAGGGAAGACAGCAGUAUGAUGGCCAGUCUGAAGGGCUUGCCUGACACGCUGAGAGGUGGUGCAUGGCCGACGUCAGCUCGUGCCGUGAGGUGUCCUGUUAAGUCAGGCAACGAGCGAGACCCACGUUUUCAGUUGCUAACUCUCUUUCGCGAGAGAGUGCACUCUGAAAAGACUGCCAGCGAUAAGUUGGAGGAAGGAGUGGGCGACGUUAGGUCAGUAUGCCCCGAAUUUCCUGGGCUACACGCGGCCUACAGUGCGUAAGACAAUAGGAUGCGACCCCGAAAGGGGAAGCCAAACCCGCAAACUUGCGCGUAGUUUGGAUUGAGGGUUGGGACUCACCCUCAUGAAAAUGGAAUCCCUAGUAAUCGCGUGUCAUUAUCGCGCGGUGAAUGCGUCCCUUCUCCUUGCACACACCGCCCGUCAAACCAACCGAGUGGGGCCUGGACGAGGUUCGAUCCACAAAGGGUCGAUUCAAAUCUGAGCUUUGUGAGGUGGGUUAAGUCGUAACAAGGUA